rnacentral:miRNA from 10 species
AUAUGUAUGUGUGCAUGUGUGUGUAUAUUUAUGUAUGUGUAUCUAUGUACACACAUACAAAUACACACAAAUACAUAA